rnacentral:lncRNA from 1 species
UUAAGUACAUGAUAAGGUUCAUUUAUAAAAAAAUAAAGCGAAAUCCUAUAUUAGAAAAAAAAUUGGAUUUAUACCCAGGAGCCCCUUAAUCAUGAAAUGAAAUGAAAUAUACCCUACGUAUUAAAUAUAUACACUACAGGGAAGCAGUACUAAAACAUGGAAUUGACCUUGAUACAUACAGGAAGUUUUAGUUUUAAAACAAAUAUGGUCUAAAUAGGGCCUUAGAAAUCAGAAUUUGUGCAUAUAUAUUUGUACCAAAAGCACAUGUUUUAACAAAUAUGAGAAACAUAUAAGAAUCUGCAUGGAAAUACACGAUAGAAUAUGUGAGAAUGCAAUAUUGGAUAAGGUUCACUUGAAUUGGAGUGCACAUGUCUAAGUAAUGUGACAAAACAUUACUUACUAAACAUAUAUAUUGUCAAUAUAUGCAUAAGCGUAUUGAUUACAUGUAAUGAAAAUAUUAUUAUAGAUCUGUAAAGGAUGUUGUAAGCUUUUAGCUGCUUUAUCUUAUGAAUAAACUCAUUAUAGAUACCAGGACUAAAUUUUGUAUAUACGCCAGACGCGCGUUUCCUCUACAAAAGACUCAUCAGUGACGCUCGAAUCCACAAAAG